AUCUUGAGACUGCUAGAAAAGUCCCACUCCAGUAGUGCCUGCCCAGUGUCACACAUCAGUGGGUCUGUGACUAGAGGCAUCUCAGAGUUG